rnacentral:rRNA from 1 species
UGCAACUCGAGUGCAUGAAGCUGGAAUCGCUAGUAAUCGCGGAUCAGAAUGCCGCGGUGAAUAACGUUCCCGGGUCUUGUACACACCGCCCGUCACACCAUGGGAGUCGGGAAUGCCCGAAGCCGGUGGCCCGAUCGAGAGAAGGGAGCCGUCGAAGGCAGGCCGGAUGACUGGGGUGAAGUCGUAACAAGGUAUC